rnacentral:rRNA from 1 species
GACGAACGCUGGCGGCGUGCUUAACACAUGCAAGUCGAACGGGACUCUUUGGAACAAGACUUCGGUCAAGGGAAUUUGAGUUUAGUGGCGGACGGGUGAGUAACGCGUGAGCAACUUACCUUGGACAGUGGAAUAACACAGGGAAACUUGUGCUAAUACCGCAUGAAGCGCGGGAGGGGCAUCCCUUCUGUGCCAAAGGAAGCAAUUCCGGUCUGAGAUGGGCUCGCGUCCGAUUAGAUAGUUGGCGGGGUAACGGCCCACCAAGUCGACGAUCGGUAGCCGGACUGAGAGGAUGAACGGCCACAAUGGAACUGAGACACGGUCCAUACUCC